AACAUUUUUUAUGUUCUAUGAUACUGUAUAUAUAUAAUAGAAAUGAAAUGCAAUAUAUAUUAUGUUUCCUAUUAUUCAAUAUGUAAAAUCAGCACCACGACUACCAUCAUCACCAGUUGUUUCAUCGUUGCCACCAUCUUCUCUCCACUGCCGUCUCCACCCAUUUCUCUUCAUCAUACCCUCGCUUCUUCUUCUUCACCCUCUGUGGUGGUUUCUUUUCCUUCUCUAUCAACUCCGGCACCAGCUCUUCUGCAAAUCAUAUCUUCUCAUUCGUCUCCUCAUUCUUCUCUUUCAUUACCCAUCAGCUUUAUAUCAUGCCACUCAGUUGCAAUGUGUUACUUGUAUUAUUAUAUUCUAUUUGACGAAGUAUAAUAGAAAUGUGGCCGCACAGUAAUAAACAUUUGGUAUGUUUUGUUGUUGUAUCAUUGUUAUGAAUCGAUUGGUUUGUACUUAUUAUCAAACUUAAGCAUUUACAAAUAAUAACAUAUUAUGGUUAUAUUAUUGAAAAUUAUAGAUGGCCAAAAAUUAUUGAAUACCGUGAACGAGUAAAAAUUAAAAACUAUACAUUGGAAUAUUGGAGACUAUAGUAUUUAUAGAGAGUCUACUAUACUAUUUGAGAUAUAGUC
rnacentral:lncRNA from 1 species